rnacentral:tRNA from 1 species
AGCAGCGUGGCUCGGUGGAAAGAGCCCCGAGCUUGGGAGUCAGUCAUCAUGGGUUCGAAUCCCAGCUCUGUUA